GACGAACGCUGGCGGCGCGCUUAACACAUGCAAGUCGAACGGAAAGGCCUGCUUUCCCUUGUGGAUUGCGGGUACUCGGGUGGCGAACGGGUGAGUAACACGUGAGUGAUCUGCCCCCAACUUGGGUAUAAGCCUGGGAAACUGGGUCUAAUUCCCGAUAGGACUGCAGGGUGGUGCCUGUGGUGGAAAACGAUUUUCUAGUGGUUGGGGAUGAGCUCGCGGCCUAUCAGCUUGUUGGUGGGGUAAUGGCCUACCAAGGCGGCGACGGGUAGCCGGCCUGGGAGGGUGGACGGCCACAUUGGGACUGAGAUACGGCCCAGACUCCUACGGGAGGCAGCAGUGGGGAAUAUUGCACAAUGGGCGGAAGCCUGAGGCAGCGACGCCGCGUGGGGGAUGACGGCCUUCGGGUUGUAAACUCCUUUCGACCGCGAGGAAGCCACCUGGUUGGAAGGGUGGUGACGGUAGUGGUAGAAGAAGCACCGGCUAACUACGUG
rnacentral:rRNA from 1 species